rnacentral:rRNA from 1 species
AGAUUGAACGCUGGCGGCAGGCCUAACACAUGCAAGUCGAGCGGUAGAGAGGUGCUUGCACCUCUUGAGAGCGGCGGACGGGUGAGUAAUGCCUAGGAAUCUGCCUAGUGGUGGGGGAUAACGUUCGGAAACGGACGCUAAUACCGCAUACGUCCUACGGGAGAAAGCGGGGGACCUUCGGGCCUCGCGCCAUUAGAUGAGCCUAGGUCGGAUUAGCUAGUUGGUGAGGUAAUGGCUCACCAAGGCGACGAUCUGUAACUGGUCUGAGAGGAUGAUCAGUCACACUGGAACUGAGACACGGUCCAGACUCCUACGGGAGCAGCAGUGGGGAAUAUUGGACAAGUGGGCGAAAGCCUGAUCCAGCCAUGCCGCGUGUGUAGAAGAAGGUC